rnacentral:rRNA from 1 species
GGAUUGCCUUCGGGCGAUUCGUACCUAGCGGCGAACAGGUGAGUAACGCGUGGGUAACCUGCCUGUGAGACGGGGAUAACACCGGGAAACCGGUGCUAAUACCGGAUACGUCUGGCUUGGCGCCUGUCGAGCCAGGGAAAGGCCCUUUGGGGUCGCUCACAGAUGGGCCCGCGUCCCGUUAGCUAGUUGGCGGGGUAAGAGCCCACCAAGGCGACGAUGGGUAGCCGGCCUGAGAGGGUGGUCGGCCACACUGGGACUGAGACACGGCCCAGACUCCUACGGGAGGCAGCAGUGGGGAAUCUUGCGCAAUGGGGGAAACCCUGACGCAGCGACGCCGUGUGAGGGAUGACGGUCUUCGGAUUGUAAACCUCUGUCUAGGGGGAAGAAAGGUCUGGGGAGGGAAUGCCCCGGGCUUGACGGUACUCCUGGAGGAAGCCCCGGCUAACUACGUGCCAGCAGCCGCGGUAAUACGUAGGGGGCGAGCGUUGUCCGGAAUUACUGGGCGUAAAGGGCGUGCAGGCGGCCGGGCAAGUCAGGUGUGAAAGUCCGGGGCUCAACCCCGGAUGUGCACUUGAAACUGCCUGGCUUGAGGGCAGGAGAGGGGAGCGGAAUUCCCGGUGUAGCGGUGAAAUGCGUAGAUAUCGGAAGGAACACCAGUGG